GGCGGCGUAGCUCAGUUGGUCAGAGCAUCCGGCUCAUAAUCGGAAGGUCAUCGGUUCAAGUCCGAUCGCCGCUACCA
rnacentral:tRNA from 2 species